UACAGAGGUCUCAAGCGUUGUUCGGAUUCAUUGGGCGUAAAGGGCGCGUAGGUGGCGGGACAAGCGUGCGGUGAAAGCCUGGGGCUCAACCCCGGGUCGGCCGUGCGAACUGUUUUGCUUGAGCACUGUAGAGGCAGGCGGAAUUCCGGGUGUAGCGGUGGAAUGCGUAGAGAUCCGGAAGAACACCGGUGGCGAAGGCGGCCUGCUGGGCAGUAGCUGACACUGAGGCGCGACAGCGUGGGGAGCAAACAGG
rnacentral:rRNA from 1 species